GAAUCAUUGGGCGUAAAGGGUACGUAGGCGGAUAAGCAAGUUAGAAGUGAAAUCCUAUAGCUCAACUAUAGUAAGCUUCUAAAACUGCUCAUCUUGAGGUAUGGAAGGGAAAGUGGAAUUCCUAGUGUAGCGGUGAAAUGCGCAGAUAUUAGGAGGAAUACCGGUGGCGAAGGCGACUUUCUGGCCAUAAACUGACGCUGAGGUACGAAAGCGUGGGUAGCAAACAGGAUUAGAUACCCUGGUAGUCAAGGGCG
rnacentral:rRNA from 1 species